ACAGGACAAUGAGAAGCGGACACUGUUGCAUGCAGCUGCCUAUCUAGGAGAUGCAGAAAUUCUAGAGCUUCUCAUACUAUCAGGAGCCAGAGUAAAUGCCAAAGACAACAAGUGGCUCACUCCUCUGCACCGGGCCUUGGCUUCCUGCAGUGAGGAGGCUGUCCAGGUGUUAUUGAAACACUCUACUGACGUGAACGCCAGGGACAAGAACUGGCAAACGCCGCUCCACAUCGCUGCGGCCAAUAAGGCAGUCCGCUGUGCCGAGGCCCUGGUCCCUCUCCUCAGCAACGUGAACGUGUCAGACCGGGCCGGGCGCACGGCGCUGCACCAUGCAGCCUUCAGUGGACACCAGGAGGUUAGCAAUUAGCAUGGACAUGAUUACACACUGUAGUCUACACUUUAUACCUGUCCUAUCCCCACGUUGAGCUUACUGUGCAUCCGAUUACUUACAAUGGUUGUAUGUAGGGCUGUGACGGUAAUUGGAUAACCGUGACAUUGACGGUUUUGGAUGAAGAACGCCAU